rnacentral:snRNA from 1 species
AUGUUUGUUUUGGCAGCACUUGCAUAAAAAUUGGCCUGACACAUGGAAGAUGGCACGGCCCCCAAGGGUGACAUGCAGAUUCGUGAAGCAUUUCAUGUUUUU